CCCUUAGAUGUUCUGGGCCGCACGCGCGCUACACUGAUGAAUUCAACGAGCUCCUAACCUAGGCCGAAGGGUCCGGGUAAUCUUUGAAAUUUCAUCGUGAUGGGGAUAGAUUAUUGCAAUUAUUAAUCUUCAACGAGGAAUUCCUAGUAAGCGCGAGUCAUCAGCUCGCGUUGAUUACGUCCCUGCCCUUUGUACACACCGCCCGUCGCUCCUACCGAUUGAAUGGUCCGGUGAAGCCUCCGGAUUGGCGCGCACCUCGGUGCCGCCGAGAAGUUGGCUAAACCUUACCAUUUAGAGGAAGGUGAANUCGUANCA
rnacentral:rRNA from 1 species